UUUGUAAAUAUUUAUCAGUUUAUUACAGUUAAAAAGAUAUAUGUACAUACAGAACAUCACCAAACAUGGUCAUUUUCACUCAUUUGCAAAGUAGCACUCUGCAACUAGUUGGUUUCAGGAUAACUGUCUUACAAUGGGGCGGCAUUGAUUAAGUUUGUCAUUUACAACCAAGCACAUAAAUCUGUGUAUUUUUCCUCUUUUUCAUUUGCCAAAUAAUGCUUAGUAAAGGCAUAUAUUCAUUAAAAAAAAACAACAACAGGAGGGUGCUUAGUAAAACAAAACUGUUGCUGAAUUGCUGGUCCAAAUCCAAGUUCCUGCUGCCAACACACGGCUUUACACAGGUAGAAACACCUCAGACUGGAUCUUGGUCACUGUGGUUAGCAAUAAAGACUCACAUAGAGGUAGUCAUGUCUGCAUCUGCUCAUCCAGUCAAGAGACAACUGACCCGAAAACUUGAACCGAUCCAAGGACCCCCGAUCCCUUUACUGACAUUAAAGAAGGAAAUAAAGAAAAAAGAAAUGAUUAUCUGUCUCUGCUGAUGAAAUCAAACGGUCAUAAAGGUUUUGCUUGGUGCGCAUAAGGCAGUCAAGUAAAUGUAUGGAGAUACUAUAGAGGGGUGUGUGAGCGGGUGGGUGGGGUUCAGAUAGGUAUGCAGUAGGAAGGAGCGGGCAACUUCACAUUAAAGGGCCAUUCUGCCAAAACUGACUGAGUUUAGUUUUUCAAAAAGUGGAAAUUUAUGAAGCUAUGUGCUCUCAUUAUGAAGAACGUGCCUAAUCUUGAUACAGAUGAUUAAAAAAAAAAAGUUAGCCUACUUCAGUUUCACUACUAUCAAAGUUGCUGACAUCCAACUGUAUCCCCCCAAUGUUGCAAUCAUGACUGAAAUCGGCUAUAAGUUGUGAGAAGAAUAUAUUAAAAAUAAGUCUUUCUUGUGAAAAAAGAUUUGCGGAAUGACAAUCCGAGUCAGUUUUGGCGUAAUUCCCCUUUAAUGCCAAAGACAAGCGAGACGUAAGCUAAUGCACAUCCACUUGGUAGCAUAAUGGCAUUAUCUUCCAUUGCACUCUUUAUCUUCUUGUAAAACUCUCAUCAUCACAUUACAGAUUUUGUAAUACUGAGUCUACCGUAACAUCAGAUUACUGUACAGAGUAAAAGGAAAAAUAAGACAGAAGAAACUAGACUCAAAUUUACAUCGUAACGACCAGUUGCUUGUAAUCAAGUACAGUCAGUGGCCAUAGACAAAAGGAAUAGCCAAACAAACACAUAAAAAAGACCAUUAAGGCUGCUUGUCAAUGUAGAUUAAGUAGGAUAAGCAUUGCCACACAAUGCUUCGACACCCUUUGCAAUAUACAAAAAGGGAGCAUUUGCAGGUACACCAAAUAGCCACUAAAUCGAAAUCUUCUAUGCAAAAACGCUCGAUUCUGACCCAGACAAAUCAUGUCAAAUAUGUGUUCAACAUGCUUGUUUCCUGUACAAAAUAACCAGGCAAGAGAAUGACAAGUUGUAUGAUGCAGGACCAAAAAGCAAAAGGAGCGAAAUGACUUUGAUUCUGAAAUAACAGACGACAGAAAAAUAAACACAAAUACUCCAAUUAUUUUGGAUGCACCAGUAUGCAAUACAUCGUCAUCACUUUGAUCCAGCGACAGCUCCACACCUCCAACUGAAUGGGCCAGUCGGUGAUCCCCAUUUCCACCCCAUCAGCCCAGUAAAACUACAUUCCACAAUCUGAUAAAUGCUCUCCAGUCAGUCAGCCCAGUUCCGUUUCUGCCUCACCUCCCAUUACCCUCCGUGUCUUCAUACACUGGCAUUUUCAACCUUGCAAAAUGGCACAUGAAGAAAGUAAGAACAGAGAGACUGAAUGUAAAAAUGGGUCACAGCACUCACGCUGCAUACCUAAUGCACAUCUCACUUUUUUGAGUACUCGAAGGCAUUUUUCACACAAUUGUUUACAGCUAAAAGUAAAUACACAAAAAGAAAAGGAACUUCCAAAGCUUUUAUAUAAAACCCAGGAAUGCAAUGCCUCCGGUGUGUUGUUGAGCGUGAACACAGAAAGCCCUUUUUACAAUUUUUUUUGUCUUUUUCCGACAGUCUUGUACUGUAACUGCGUUAAGCUCAAAUAUGCACCUUGUUGUGUUGUCUCAUCGUUGUUGUCCAAACGAUUUGAUCUUUGUGAAAACCACCGGGCCUGAUGCUAAAAUCGAAAAGGUCAGUGGAUUUGUCCCUCGUCAGGUUUUCGAGUGAAGUCUGUAUCAGUGUUGGGAAUGGAUCGCUUCCCGCCUCUUGCCUCACCCGGCUCCCUCCGUCUUGAACAGCAUAUGUUUAAGUCCAUGAAAAGCAGCAACAGGUUCUGCUGGUAAAUUAGAAGCAGCGUUUCAUUGUUUUUCCCCAAACCCGACCCAACCCCGAGGUGAGCUGUGGCGCUCUCAUCAUUCAGGCCUCCAGUGGAGGCCGGACCACAGCCCACUAAAACACACCAAGCUGCUGCAAAGAAAGUAGACCCACACAUUUCAAUACACAAACAGAAUCAUGAUUGAAUAUAGAACUGGGAUGCAAAACAUUUUCAAAAAGGAAAAAAAUAAAAAAGUUUGGUUUUGAUUACCUUUUGUUAGGAUUUUUAAUGUACAGUCACUUGAAAUAAUACGAACUGAAUGCACAUUUCAUCAUUUAGAAAAAAAAAAUUCAAAGUAAAUUGAUGUAAAAUAAACAAAGUUCAUCUUAACUGCAAUAAGCCAAUUUUCUUGCAAUUAAGAGAACAGGAUAUGG
ensembl:lncRNA